CCUACGGGAGGCAGCAGUGGGGAAUUUUGGACAAUGGGCGCAAGCCUGAUCCAGCAAUGCCGCGUGAGUGAAGAAGGCCUUCGGGUUGUAAAGCUCUUUUGUCAGGGAAGAAACGGUGGGGGCUAAUAUCUCCUACUAAUGACGGUACCUGAAGAAUAAGCACCGGCUAACUACGUGCCAGCAGCCGCGGUAAUACGUAGGGUGCAAGCGUUAAUCGGAAUUACUGGGCGUAAAGCGUGCGCAGGCGGUUUUGUAAGUCUGUCGUGAAAGCCCCGGGCUCAACCUGGGAAUUGCGAUGGAGACUGCAAGGCUUGAAUCUGGCAGAGGGGGGUAGAAUUCCACGUGUAGCAGUGAAAUGCGUAGAGAUGUGGAGGAACACCGAUGGCGAAGGCAGCCCCCUGGGUCAAGAUUGACGCUCAUGCACGAAAGCGUGGGGAGCAAACAGGAUUAGAUACCCUGGUAGUCCACGCCCUAAACGAUGUCUACUAGUUNUCGGGUUUUAAUUAACUUGUAACGCAGCUAACGCGUGAAGUAGACCGCCUGGGGGAGGUACGGUCGCGAAGAAGUAAACGUUACAAUAGUUAGUUAGAGGNGNGAGAGNGCGACGGACGACGACGAGGGAGGAGG
rnacentral:rRNA from 1 species